GAUUUGAAUUUUACACAAUAAACAUCUUGUAUUCUCGACUUAUUUUAUGAUCUCUUUUUCGAGAGUUUAUCCUUUCCGAGCCUAAAUGUGUUUUAGGCAGGCAAAUCAUCCUAAUUCGCUGUGUCCAUUGGUAUCAGGGUAGGAAUUCGACUAAAUCUGAACCGGCGCACAAGGUGAGUCACAACCAUCUUUUUGUCGAAGAACGGAGGGCGUUUUGCACUUAUGGAGCAGAGAGUCAAGGGACUUGAUGCAUUCACGAAGGGCAGCAACUGGGAUUAGGAAGACGGAGGCUCGACACUGCGAGUUGUUGCUCGUAAGUUAGCUUUUGUUCGGAGCAUUCCCUAUGGGUUCUAUUUCGAUGAUGACGACGAAGAUAGCAGAUAUAUUCGGAUCAACAGUUUCCGUGGAAUAGGAGGCUAUCUAUACGAGCUAAAGAAUUAUUGUCUGAAAAGUAUCCCAAUUUUCAAUCGAAGCACGAGUGUCGAGGGAAUUCCUGAUGUUAUUAUUUUAUUAUACUGGUAGAUUAAAAAAUAAAAAAAGAAGCCAAAGUAGAAGGGAGUGACGAAUGAAAAUGCAACAAAGGAUGAUCGGGAGUUAUGGACAUCAUCAAUAGACAAUGCCCUUGUCGAUGCAUUCUUGAAUCAACAUAAUAUAGGAAACAAAGUGAAUGGAACUUUUUACGCUCUUUGCUUAUGAAAAUAUAGUUAAUGAGUUGAAUGAGAAUAUAGGUAGGACUUUUAACAAGGAUCAGGUACAAAAUCAUUGGAAGACCAUUAAGGUGAAUUUUGCUAAAUGUUAUGACUUGUUGAAAAAUCACUCGAGUGGAUUUGCAUGGGACUCCACAACGAAAUUAUGGAGUGCCGAACCGGAAGUUUGGGCGGCGAUGAUUGAGUCUCUGAAUGAUUGGCUUUAUUUGCCUCUAUGUAAUGGAAAUUCCGCUGGCUUGUUGCGAUUCCAACGAUAGUAGAAGACAAUAUGAACGAAAAAGCAAAAGGGACAUACGGAAUUGAUUACUCAGUUCGUCAGUAAUUUUGACUAUGUCUGGGGGCGCUGCCAAGCCAGGUUCCAUAACUCAACAUGGCUUUGUGAGUGUGACCCAAUGGUGAGGGUAUUUUGGUUACUGGGUAUUCGAUAGUAGAAGAUGUUCACGAGAUCACAGCUUCUUUAUUGUGUGAGCAAUGACUUACAGCAUAUUUCUAUAGGCACAUCUCGAGGCUGUUGAGUGGAGGAACAAACCUAUUGCUAAUUAUGACAAGUGUCAUAAUUUAUGGAAUAGAUAGAGUAACGGGAGAGCAUUCUGAGACAGUAAAGGAUAUAGAGAAACGAAUGUCUUUUUGUAUAAGGGAAGAGUUUACUGCUGACGCAAGUUUGGAAAACUCCAGCUUUCAAAGUAGCGAUAAUGCAGAAUAUUUUUAGUCUUCAGAAAUUCACUGGCAAGUUCCAGAAGUUGCUACAAGUUCGAAAGGUAAAAAAGCGAAAGUGAAUGAAGAAGGAAACUGUAAGUUGUUCAUAAAAGAAGUCAUAGAUAAUGUAGCUCAAGCGAUAACGGAAGGAAACUAUUAUGGAAAGAUUUUCUUCAUAAUGUAUUUAUGCACAUAUCAUUGUAUACUAUACUAGGAUAGUCUAUUUUUAGUUGUAGACAUUGUUUUCUUUUUAUAGACUAAGACUGAUCUGUAUACAUACCAAUGUCGAUGAAUGAGAAAGCAAGCUUUUCUGUCCAA